rnacentral:rRNA from 1 species
AUUGAACGCUAGCGGGAUGCCUUACACAUGCAAGUCGAACGGCAGCACGGACUUCGGUCUGGUGGCGAGUGGCGAACGGGUGAGUAAUGUAUCGGAACGUGCCCAGUAGCGGGGGAUAACUACUCGAAAGAGUAGCUAAUACCGCAUACGCCCUACGGGGGAAAGGGGGGGAUCGCAAGACCUCUCACUAUUGGAGCGGCCGAUAUCGGAUUAGCUAGUUGGUGGGGUAAAGGCCCACCAAGGCGGCGAUCCGUGGCUGGUUUGAGAAGACGACCAGACACACUGGGACGGAGAAACGACCCAGACGCCUACGGGAGGCAGCAGUGGGGAAUUUUGGACAAUGGGGGCAACCCUGAUCCAGCCAUCCCGCGUGUGCGAUGAAGGCCUUCGGGUUGUAAAGCACUUUUGGCAGGAAAGAAAUCGCAUGGGUUAAUACCCUGUGUGGAUGACGGUACCUGCAGAAUAAGCACCGGCUAACUACGUGCCAGCAGCCGCCGCCG